rnacentral:rRNA from 1 species
UAGGGAAUCUUCCACAAUGGACGCAAGUCUGAUGGAGCAACGCCGCGUGAGUGAAGAAGGUCUUCGGAUCGUAAACUCUGUUGUUAGAGAAGAACACGAGUGAGAGUAACUGUUCAUUCGAUGACGGUAUCUAACCAGCAAGUCACGGCUAACUACGCGCCAG